AGGGCCUAGAAGGUAUCGUAGGAGUUAAUUACAGCGGAGUUGAGAUAAGUAAGCCUGUAAGCUUUCGGUGACAAGUUGAGUCUGGGCAGCAUGGGGUGUAUCUCGUGUGAUCAUGUAACUGCGUGUGGUCUUGGCCAUCUUCCGCUGAAAGUUUUUUUUAAUUUAUUAAACUUAUCGAGGAUGUUGUCGUUUAAAUUUUCUAUUACUUUUCCCUAAGUGGUAAUACUUUAUUUUUAACUAGGUACCCAUGUUUUAAAAAGUGUUAUUUUUUUUUAAUAAAGGCAACAUUAGUAUCUUAACGCCAGUUUAUUUAUGGCAUCUUAUUUUACGUAAGUGAGGGCGUUACAAAUGGUAUCAGAGCCUUGACCCAGCCGGAAGUGUGGUCGACGAGGACGUCGGACCCUGUAAGGGGGGUGAUUGUGACAGUCAAUAGUCCCGUGAUCCGUAAGGGGAAACACCGGGUAAGCUGUGCAAUCCCACACCGCCUGGGGAAGGUCAAGUGGGAUGAUUCUGAGACUGUGUAGGUAUGGGACUACACAGUUAAAGAGAGCUUAAAUGGAUUGAUUGGUACUACCUAUAUCAACAAGGUGCAUCUUGUUUUUC